rnacentral:rRNA from 1 species
UACGGAGGAUCCAAGCGUUAUCCGGAUUUAUUGGGUUUAAAGGGUGCGUAGGCGGCUCAUUAAGUCAGGGGUGAAAGACGGUAGCUCAACUAUCGCAGUGCCCUUGAUACUGAUGGGCUUGAAUGUACUAGAGGUAGGCGGAAUGUGACAAGUAGCGGUGAAAUGCAUAGAUAUGUCACAGAACACCAAUUGCGAAGGCAGCUUACUAUGGUAUUAUUGACGCUGAGGCACGAAAGCGUGGGGAUCAAACAGG